rnacentral:rRNA from 1 species
UACGUAGGGACCAAGCGUUGUUCGGAUUUACUGGGCGUAAAGGGCGCGUAGGCGGCAAUUCAAGUCAUCUGUGAAAUCUCCGGGCUUAACCCGGAACGGUCAGGUGAUACUGUUUUGCUAGAGUGCGGAAGGGGCAAUCGGAAUUCUCGGUGUAGCGGUGAAAUGCGUAGAUAUCAAGUGGAACACCAGUGGCGAAGGCGAGUCUCUGGACAUUUCCUGACGCUGAGGCACGAAAGCCAGGGGAGCAAACGGG